CCAAAAACAUGUCCUUUUGUAAAUAAUUUAAGGUCUAGCCUGCCCACUGAUAUUUUAAAUGGCCGUGGUAUUUUGACCGUGCUAAGGUAGCAUAAUCAUUAGUUUUUUAAUUAAAAACUGGAAUGAAAGGUUGGAUGAGAAAAUAGCUGUCUCUAUUAAAUUUAAUUAGAAUUUUAUUUUUAAGUUAAAAAGCUUAAUUGUUAUUAAAAGACGAGAAGACCCUAUAGAGUUUAAUUAUUUAAUAAAAAUUAUAUUUUAGUAUUAAUUUAUUUAUUUUAUUGAAUAAUUUAAUUGGGGUGAUUGAAAAAUUUAAUUAACUUUUUUUAUUUAAGAACAUUAAUUUAUGAAUAAAUGAUCCGAUAUUUUUGAUUAUAAGAUAAAAUUACCUUAGGGAUAACAGCGUAAUUUUUUUAGAAAGUUCAUAUUAAAAAAAAAGAUUGCGACCUCGAUGUUGGAUUAAAAUAAAUUUUUGGUGUAGAAGCUAAAAUAUUAGGUCUGUUCGACCUUUAAAAUUUUACAUGAUCUGAG
rnacentral:rRNA from 1 species